rnacentral:lncRNA from 10 species
UGGAAUAUAAGGAGAUUUGACCUGUGCUGCUGUGAUUAACAGACAUCAGAGGCAUGGUACCAUGAGGACAGAGACCUCAACUGUGUGUUCAUCAUUAAGUCUCCAGAAUUCAGCAAAAUAUAUGGCACAUAGAAGGAAGAAAAACAACAGUAACUAGAUGAAGCAAGGACCACCCUUCUGGACAACAAAGGGAGAGGAAUGAAAGUCUGACCUAGGAAAAGACGGAGUCUCGCUGUGUUGUCCAGGAUGGAGUGCAGUGGUGCUUUCUCAGCUCACUGCAACCUCUGCCUCCCAGUUCAAGCAAUUCUUCUGACUCAGCCUCCUGAGUAGCUGGGAUUACAGGCACCUGCUACCACACCAUGCUAAUUUUUGUAUUUUUAGUAGAGACGGGGUUUCUCCAUGUUGGCCUGGCUGGUCUCGAACUCCUGACCUCAGGUGAUCCACCUGCCUCGGCCUCUCAAAAUGCUAGGAUUACAGGUGUGAGCCACCACACCUGGCCAACUUAUCCUUUUUUUAACAUCUAGUUUUCUGUGAGUGUUUUCUAAUGUGCACUGUAGACGGACAUAGUGGUAUGUGAUUACUAUUCAUAGAUAAAUAAUAAUUUGUUUAUUAUUGUGUAAUAAACAUUGUGUGAUAAAGAA